GGCCCGCACAAGCGGUGGAGUAUGUGGUUUAAUUCGACGCAACGCGCAGAACCUUACCCAGUCUUGACAUCCUUGGAACUCUUGUGAAAGCAAGAGGUGCCUCCUCACGGAGGAAUCAAGUGACAGGUGCUGCAUGGCUGUCGUCAGCUCGUGUCGUGAGAUGUUCGGUUAAGUCCGGCAACGAGCGCAACCCCUGUCGUUAGUUGCCAUCAAUUCGGUUGGGCACUCUAGCGAGACUCCCGGUGUUAAGCCGGCGGAAGAUGGGGAUGACGUCAAGUCCUCAUGGCCCUUAUGACUGGGGCUACACACGUACUACAAUGGCAACUACAGAGGGCUGCAAACCAGCGAUGGUAAGCCAAUCCCAAAAAGUUGCCUCAGUUCGGAUUGGAGUCUGCAACUCGACUCCAUG
rnacentral:rRNA from 1 species